CUGUAUUUUUAUCUUUUACUGUGGUCCUGGAACAACAUAAUAAAAGGCUAUUUGCCUUCUCUGUCCUCAUUAUAAACCUCUAUAGUGAGCCUUGCAGUAGUUGUUAAUCAUUAAGAUGUCUGUACCUAGAAAGAACUACCAUAAAACCCAUAACUUAAUGCAAGAAAAGAGUUUGGAGAAAACAUAAAGUUCAGUUAAUGAGUUAGGA